ensembl:lncRNA
AUUAUGCUGAUUGUACUGAUCCAAGAACAGUUUAUUAUUUCUUAAUAAGCAUGCUUAUUGUAUGUACCUUAUUAAGGACAUUUUCCAACACCGACUGGCCAUUCACUUUUUUGCUUCAAUCUGACCAAACGCAGCCCCAGCCCUGUCUGGCAGAUACAUUUUUGAUCAUUUUGCAGCAUUUUUAGACAGAAAAAUAGAUGUCAAGAUCCACUUGCUUGCAUACAUUUUAAAAUACACAACACAAGCAUUAUGUAAGCGUUUGAAUACAGCACCCAGAGCGUUUUAUUAAUACGCAAGACAGUUGGCAAAAAGAGAUCUACCAAAGUGCCCAUACGCCGCUGACUGGUGGGGCUCAUUAAACCGUAACCCGUCCACAUCUAAUCAGCGCUCUCCUACGAAAACGAAAGGAGUGAUUGAUCGCGGAUGUUUUCCUCGACUUGAUGGGACUGGAAUUUGGUGAAAUCCUAAGCCCACCGCCAGUAACCCAUGACUGAGACGGAAACUAGAGACGCCAACGAGAUUUCAGCGAUGGUGGUAACAGCAGAACUUCGGGAAAACCACGACACAACCUGGGUCCGCUUGCCAACGCGUUGACUUUUUCCAUUAAAGCGUUUUUUAACAACCAAAUAGUGUACUAGCGUUUUAGACACAAUGUAUGCUGCCGGACCAUGAAUAACUCCCGUGACUCUUGCUGGCCACCGAUCACAUGGAUUUGAUCAUCUGAAGAACAUCCUAUAGAAAAUGAUAAAUGUGUGUGAACGGGUCUGUGCUCCGUACCGUCGUGCUGUUUCUACUGUUGGGUGUCUCCUACAGUAAGUGCAAGUGCGACUACUGGGAGAUACUCAACUCUUACAGAGAACUCAUCUUCGUUGAACUGCAGAAUUUGAAUUUGACGGGCACUUUCGACACAUCUUCAGAAAGGGACCGCUGUCCCUCGGGAAAAGCACAGCGUAUUUUGCACUCUAUCCACGGAUUGGCACUCCAGUUUCUUUGCCAGAACUGGGAAAUGGGCAGCAGGCAGAGAAGCAGUCAGCAGGAAGACAUGGAGAAGCCAGUGGUGAUGAUGAAACAGCUGAUCACACAGAACUGCAAUCCAGCUGACCUGGUGAGAAAACAGAAAAGAGACCGGUCGUGUGCAAAACCCAAGAGAACAAGAGGAAAGAAGAAGAAGCGGAUGCGACUCAUCAGAGCACUGAUCAAAUGUUGGCAGAAGCUACAGAGUGUGUCGAAGCCCACAAAAUAAUGCAUCAAAAAUAUUUUUAUCCACUUCCAAAAAAACGUGUGUGUUUAAUUGUGUUCUCAUUUUGUAAAGUAGAAACAUAGUUGUAUUUCCGGCAUUAAGCUCUCUGUUUAGGACCUUUCUUCUUGUGUGUAACAUCUUCCACAUAUAUAAGCUAGCCAUCCACAGGUCAUCUGUAUUAGAUGGCUGUUAGAGGAUGGGUUAUAAUGAAAUGACAAUAGGCUAUUUACUUUUCACACACAUUUUUUUAAAUGAAAAUCCAGAGAUAGGAUUAUUUCUUUCCCUAAACAUGUACAUGUGUGUUGGUGCUUAUGUUUUUGAGAUGUAUUAGUUCAAGCUACUUACAUGCAAUAAAGGUUCCUCAAGCUAACAUUUCAAAUGAAUGAAUGCAAAAAUGUGUUGUUCAUUCCUGUUAAGCUCAAAAACCAGUGUUCCAUCUAGAUUGGCAUGUUUCACAUUGAAAUACAUGAUGUUCAUAUAAAAU